AUGUGGCCAAUAACAAUGUGCCAAAUAUCCCGACUCCACCCUGGCUCCACCCCUGCCUUACCCUGUGUAAGUCUGUACAUUUUCUCAAUAAAAUGGAAGCGUCCCAGAAACCUCCCUGGAGUCUGCAUGGUGAUUCCACACCUUGCCCUCCCAGUCCAGGUCCCUGAACCUUGUUCUGAGAGCUGGCUCGCUGACGAAAACAACAAAUGGAACCGAGGACUCCCAUAUACUGGGGUAAGCUGUCUCAGUCUCCCUCGUCUGCACCUGCCACGCCGCCUGGGUUGCAGUGCCCACCUGCUCAGGUGCAGUGUCCAGCUCUGCCCUGCACACUGCUUGGCUAAUGAGCUGGGAGCAGACCCAACCUGUACAAGGCCACACGUGAAACGCCACACCAGCUCUCUGCACCUUGGCUCCGGCCUCUGGAAUUUGCAUGCUGUGCCUUGAGAGAAGUGGAUGACAGGUGGCGGCCCCUUCAGUCUCAGUCUUGGAACAAGAAGUCGUGUGGAGCCUUUCAGAGCCCAGAGGAGCUGCGGCCAACUCAAGCCCUCAGGUGAUGCGUUCAAGCGAUCCAUAGUUGACCCCGUAGAAAGUGCGAGUGUGGAGAUUUGAUGCCAUGGCAGCAGUGUCUGUUGACGGUUACCCUAAAAUAUCUGAACCUUGGGGCUGAGGCUUGGAGGCCCAGUGGUGGGUGCUGGAGAAACCAUUCAGACACCAGUGCAAGUAUUAUCACCUUCGGGUGUCCCACCGUGUAGAUAAUAUCUGAUCGUCCUUUAAUUUAUGAGGGUGAUUUAUUGCUACUAAAAU
rnacentral:lncRNA from 1 species